rnacentral:lncRNA from 1 species
CUGGUUUGACUGUGCAGUUUUUUCUGGUCAUCACUGAUGCGGGGUCGGUGAGCCGAGGAGUCGAAAGAAAGAUUUCUUAGACUCUCAAGAUCUGGCAGUAGUGCUCUUUUAUUUAGAGAAUAGUGUGGAAUAGCAUGGGGACAGGACCCAUGGGCAGGCAGAGCUGGUGCGUGGGGACAGGACCCACGGGCAGUCAGAGCUCCUGCUGCUGCCCCCGCUGGCAUGGGGACAGGGCCCAUGGGCAGGCAGAGCUCCUGCUGCUGCCCCCGCUGGCAUGGGGACAGGACCCAUGGGCAGGCAGAGCUCCUGCUGCUGCCCCCGCUGGCAUGGGGACAGGACCCAUGGGCAGGCAGAGCUGGUGUGUGGGGACAAGACCCACAGGCAGUCAGAGCUCCUGCUGCUGCCCUGAGUUGAGGGUUAGGGCUAAUUUUAUAAGGCAUGGGUACGUGACUUAUUUUUACUGGAGAAAAGAAAAGAUGAUGUAAAAAGUCAUUAAAUGAUUUCAGUGCAGAUGGGGUCUGGUUAUUGUGCGGUCAUAUAACUUUAGAUACGAAUCUGGCCAUAUAGAUCGG